CAGCGCACUCCGGGGUCGGUGUAAUUCCGAACCGGCGGUAACAGUCCGCGACCCGUCCGCAGCCAGCGGCCGGUUGAUCAGGUGAAAUUCCUGGACCGACGGUGAAAGUCCGGAUGGGAGGCAGUGCGCGG
rnacentral:ncRNA from 2 species